rnacentral:lncRNA from 7 species
GGACCAGCUGUUAUCUGAGCUGUUUCCUGGCCUGGGGAAGGGGGGAUUUACAGGUGUUCCCUUCCCAGCGAUCAGUCAGGACAUGCUGAGUCCUGACCUGCAAGAGGAAUCAUGCACCAUCCUCCUUUGCAGCACAUGAGUCUGGCACGUGGACAAGAGACAAGGAGAUGAAUCAACAGUCCAUGUCUAAUUCUUGUGAUUAAGAGACUAAUUGGAGUGGCUAAAGUGCUCUGGGAACCGAGAUCUGGAAUGCGAUGGCUCAACAGCUCUCAGCAAGCUGGUAGGAGGGAAGGACAUCCCUGUGGCUGUGAGCCUUUGCUCUGUCCGGAGGGAACAGAAAGAAGAUGAGAGGCUGUCGGCUCUGCCAUCCCCAUGCAACAGCAGAACGGAGCAGCUUGGGACCCAUGGCAGCCUGCCCUCCUGCCUACCAUUUAUCUGCAUACUCCACCUAGCAAACUCGGCAUAUCUGUCUGUUCCACAAACAGACUUUCUGGCAUUUUUCUGCGUCUGUGACUCCGCUUGUGACCCUGUGAACCUCCCUUUAAGUCAACCCAAACAGUCUGUUUUCAUUCUACGAUCUCCAAGGCACAUUAAUAUUUAAAGGCUGUUGAUAAGAUGAAAGAAGAGCGAUCCUUCCGGGUGAAUUAACGGAAAGGACAUUCGCUUCUCCCCGAUGCUCUGGGAACUGGCAUCCAGCUAACGCUGAGCCCAUGUUCUGAAUGGACUUCAGACUACUUGCAAAUUUAAAUGAAAACAAAACAAGUUAUUUGGAAAAAAAGGACUCUUUCUGACCUUCCUGCUCUUCCCGGUGGGCUGGUUGCAACUUUAAAUCAACAGACCCGCGCAUCCUCAGCCAGGCUUUGAGCUUGGCAGCACACGGAUUAGCACUUUAGCACAUUAAAUGAGACCAAGGCUGGUGGCUGUGGCAUGAAGGAGGAUGUUUCAGCAUCCCUACAGUCUCCAAAGGCUCAAUCCGGGUUGUGAAAGCUAUUAUAGCACAGUCCUGUUCACAGCAGGAGGCAAUCAAUCUGUUAAGCACCUAAUGAAAAGAAAGCACUCUCUUUCCAUGGGGUAAGCAGUAGCAGCUUAAACCACAAUUACCGUUCCAGUGACCACAGUGUCCUAAAUUCAUUGGCUCUCACAUGUCUGCAAAAGCUGUUUUUUCAGCCCUCCUGCCUCAGCCUUGAGGACAGAGAUGUUCCUCGGGAAUAAAAGCUGUGCUAUUCAACCGCAACGAGCAGCCUAGGAAGUACAAGAGGACUUUGUUAUCCCCUUGGUUCCAUCCCUGCGGUGCCGGACAGCAGCUCUGUGCCCCCUCCCCUGAGCCCAACCUGGUGGGGAACACGCAGGUACAGCGUAAUCCAUUGUUUUCUCAAAAACCGGGACAGCAAAGAACAACAGCCUAGUGGAAAACAUCCAGCUGUGCAUCCUGAGCGCUCUCGGGGAUGCAUGGAAAAAGUCAAGGACUGGGAAGGGACAGCAAAGGGCAGCAGAGCUGGAGGAAAACGCUCUCCUAACAAGUUGUGCCGGCAGGGAGCCAGCUCCUCCGCAGUGGCUGCAGUCAGGUAUGACAAAACUUUUGGCUCCAUCUCUCAGCUGGGAAAUACAGAAGGUAAAAAAAUAAGAGAGGAGCCCAGCUGAGUGGAUUUCACAUUGUCUGAAGGAGAAACUCAAUGAAAGAAGCGAAGUGGUGCUUGAAGAGGGGUUGGAGAAAAGCCAUACAAGCAGGAGCAAAACCCAAUGAAUCUGUGCUCCCCUCUGCACCUCCCCCUUCUCAGUCCCCCCAGUGCAGUUUGUCCUCAGUACUCAUUGCUGGAGAGGGAAUGCUGGUGCAAGCUGGUUUAUCCCAGAUAAAAUCAAGAAGUCUGAAGCUGAACCAGUAAUUAAAUCUACACCUUUGAGGUC